UCCCGCAGAGGCUCCGGCUGUGGUCGCAGCAGGCUGGAGAGGCUGAAGAGAGUGCUGGAUACGCUGACCAGCAGCCAAUCCCCGUCCAGGGCCCGCGGGCAGUUCUGCUCCGGACUCAGACUUCUAGCCCACUUCGCCGAGGCAGGGAACGGGAUGAAGCGGCUCAUCUCGCAGUGUGGGGCGGAGGCGCCUGCGGGGUACCGCCUGAAGGCGGCCAGGAGCAUUCCCGCCGGGUCUGCAGAACCGAAAAGGGUGUAACGGUAGCCCGGACUGGAAAUGUGCUGACUACACACAGGCCGGAAGGCACAAACUAGCAAAGUAGUGAACGACUUAGAGAGCAUCCAAACGUAUUUACAAAAGGGAAAACUGAGGCCCAGCGUCCCUGCGUGAGCUAAGAGGAGGCGACAGAUGCAGGUAAGUCCCGAAGACUCACCAUCCACCUUGAAGUAUAGCUUUGGGUCAAGAUCUGGCCGGGGCGGCGGUCCCCUGGGUCCAUGGCGCAGUAGCAGUGUGGCAGGUUUCUUAGACAGGCCACCCCCACCUGCAUCCUCCACGAACCAGCACUCGAUCGCCUCUGGUCCAGCCGAGACGACGGAGACGACGGUCGCUAGGCCUGGGGAGAGGGGCUCCGGUGACCAGAGGGCCAUAGGAUGUCCGGCGACCGGCGACCGGCCCGCCCCUUCAGACCCGCCAUGGGACCUCCUCCCUCUCCUUCCCAGUGUGUCUAUUCCUAAACAAGAAGAAAUGGGGUCUGCUCACCCAGUGCCACAGCGACGAGCAGGAGCAGAGGCUUCAUGGUGCUACGAUCUCUCCUACCAAGUCUUUUCUUCCCCUUUCACUUUCAUUUUCCUUCUAAGGCUGGGGUGAGGAACUGGAAAUUCCCCGAUCUGGUCAGGUGAGGGCGUGACUGCGCGUUGGAGGAACGCCGCCCACAGGGGCCAAACAGAGUUGCCGAAACCCUGUCUGUAGCUCUCCAGCCACUCCUCGCCCUGCACCCACCCCCUUGGCUCACCGGACUGCGCCAACUUUGAGCCCUUUAUCAGCCUAGACUCCGCCCUCCUGCUGUGCCCUCUCCGCGCCACCUCCCUUAAAACCACACUCCCGCGUUCCCAGACCUGUGCCAGGUCCCAGCAAACAGAGGGGUGUUGGGAAGCCAAGUGAAGUGACCAAUAAAUAUUUUAAUCACCGUUAAAAAUUAA
rnacentral:lncRNA from 1 species